GCAGGUGUAGUUCAGUGGUAGAACAUCAGCCUUCCAAGCUGAUUAUGCGGGUUCGAUUCCCGUCACCUGCUCCA
rnacentral:tRNA from 1 species